rnacentral:tRNA from 1 species
GGGCCUGUAGCAUAACUUGGAUAGUGCGGUGGGCUUCGGACCCAUUGAUCGGGGUUCAAAUCCUCGCAGGCCCG